GACGAACGCUGGCGGCGUGCCUAACACAUGCAAGUCGAGCGAAUGAAGUUCCUCCGGGAACGGAUUUAGCGGCGGACGGGUGAGUAACACGUGGGCAACUUGCCUCAUAGAGGGGAAUAGCCUUCCGAAAGGAAGAUUAAUACCGCAUAAGAUUGUAGCUUCGCAUGAAGCAGCAAUUAAAGGAGCAAUCCGCUAUGAGAUGGGCCCGCGGCGCAUUAGCUAGUUGGUGAGGUAACGGCUCACCAAGGCGACGAUGCGUAGCCGACCUGAGAGGGUGAGCGGCCACAUUGGGACUGAGACACGGCCCAGACUCCUACGGGAGGCAGCAGUGGGGAAUAUUGCACAAUGGGGGAAACCCUGAUGCAGCAACGCCGCGUGAGUGAUGACGGUCUUCGGAUUGUAAAGCUCUGUCUUCAGGGACGAUAAUGACGGUACCUGAGGAGGAAGCCACGGCUAACUACGUGCCAGCCGCCGCGGUAA
rnacentral:rRNA from 1 species